GUACUGUUUAGAACCAGGGUAUAAAUUAAGAUGAACCAUCCUAGUACAGCACAGACUGAUCUCAUAAUGAUUGCAGGACAAAUCUGUGUUUUUGGGCUGCUGCUCUGCACAGCUGUAUUAAGCACAUCAGUACCAGCAGGCAGACCAGGAAAAUGCCCACCUGAGAGGUUAUUGGCACAUAAUGAUUUCUCCAAAUCUAAAAGAUGUGAAUCUGACUAUAAUUGUGAGGGAAACAAGAAAUGUUGCAUGGACAAUGGCAAAAAAAUCUGCAAACCUCCAGCGCAAGGUAAACCAGGACAUUGCCCACCUGAGAGGUUCUUGGCAGAAACAUAUUUUUUCGGUAAAAUAUGUGAAUCUGAUAGUAAUUGUGAGGGAAAGCAGAAAUGUUGCAUGGACAAUGGUGAUAAAUUCUGCAAAUCUCCAGCACAAGAGAGGCCUGGCACCUGUCCCUAUGGUACAAAUCUGCCACGUGCUACUGAUUUCUGUACCUGAGACAGUGAAUGCGCUGAUGGAUCCAAAUGCUGCUUCAAUGAUGGUGGAAAGACCUGUCUGCCUUUUGUAAAAGAAAAGAUGGGCUCCUGUCCUCCUAGAAAUAUAAUCUAUUGCUUUGUUCCGGUGAGGAACACUUGUACAUCUGACUCCACGUGUCCUGGAGAUUAUAAAUGCUGUCCAUCUGGAUGUCACAGAGAAUGCCUGAAAGCGGUAUAAUAACACCAGAAUAUCCAUCUUUUUACUUGCCUCUAGAACAUGAUCUAGUUCCUGUAAUAAGAAUCAUGUCACUGAUCACAUAUAAAGGAUGUUUCUGUGGGUGCAUUUACAUGUUGUAAAGUUCUUGCUUCUGUGGGUUUCUGGGUAAACUUACAGUCCCCAUAUGUAUUAUUCUGCGUUUGGGGUACGUCAAUGAAAAAUAAAGUUCUGAAGUGUAAACAAUAAGUUCUCUGGCUUAUUAU